GGCCUGGUACACACGAAGCCCUGGUUUGAUCUCCAGCUCAGCAAAAAAAUAAAAACUUAAGCUAAAGUGUGGAUGAGGAGUUUCUUCCACUCAUCCUCUUUCCUCAUGCGUAUUUAUAUCUUUCCCAACACUGCCAGGUGCUCCAUUAAGGCAAUUGAGGCUGCCCUGGGUGCCCGCCAGUGGAAGAAGGCAAUUUAUAUCUUAGAUCUACAGGACCGGAACACUGCAUCCAAAUACUAUCUUCGAAUGGCCCAACACUAUGCGUCUCUACAGGAGUAUGAGAUUGCCGAGGAGCUCUACGUUAAGGGAGACCGGAUCAAAGAUGCUAUAGACAUGUACACCCAGGCUGGCCACUGGGAGCAAGCGCACAAGGUAGCAAAUGGGUGGAGUCCUUGCUGCAGAACUCUGCCUUAUUCCUCGGCCUCUGACCUCCCUCCUUCACUGACUUCCCUGAAAGCUGUGAAAGUAACUAAACGGGCCGGGGAUGUAGCUCAGUAGCACUGCACCUGCCUGGCAAGCAUAAGGUCCUGAGUUCGAUUCCCAGUAACUGAUCCCUCAUCACAGGGAAAGAUGAGAUGAGGAAAGGCCUCUGUCCCUGAGCCUUUAAGUCUGAAGAGGGCAGAUGGGUUUGGGGGCUGAGCAAUCUGAACUACCAUUCCCAAGCUUCUGGUUACUUGGUAACUUUGUUCUCACCACUCCACUCCUGAGUGCAGUGAGUGUAGCAGGAGCAUGGUAAUGGGUGCGCCUGCCCUGAGCACGGGCCUCACAUGCCCUCCUGCCUUAGCAUACUGUGGGCUGCCUGUGGUCCUGCUGGAUUUGUAAUUCCCUGAUCUGACUGUAGAGUGGCAGUCCCGUGACUUGUGGGUGAGUUGCAGUUCCUGAACAGACAGGUUCCCCUGAGGCCCUGCCUCCCCUGUGAAUUGGUACCUCAUGUCUCUGCACAGCUAGUGAUGAAAUGCAUGUGACCAGAAGAUGUGUCGGUGCGUACAUCACUCAGGCCCAGGAAAUGGAGAGGCAGGGCAAGUACCACGAGGCUGAAAGUUGAGCUGUGGCCUCAGAGGAGGCAUGGAGGCAGGUGAGGUAUCAGAGCUGGGAGGAAGGGUGGCAUCAGAAGAUGCAUCCCCCUGCCCAGAUGCCAUGGCAGCAGGUCUCUAGCUGUAUGAAGCCCCAGGUCUCUGCCAUCCCCAGGCUCUAUGUGACAGUGGAAGAGCCUGAUCUUGCCAUCACCAUGUUCAAAAAGCACAAGUUGUAUGACGACACGAUCCGGCUGGUAGGAAAGCACCACCCAGAUCUACGCAGUGACACGCACCUCCACCUGGGCAAGGUGAGCCCCCUCCCGGCCCUGCCCGCUCUUUGCCCACCAGGCUUCCUCUCCCCAUCUCCAUCCGGACCCCCUUCCUGCAGGAGCUGGAGGCUGAAGGCCGACUGCAGGAGGCAGAGUAUCACUACCUCGAGGCCCAGGAGUGGAAGGCAACAGUAAAUAUGUACCGGUCCAGCGGGCUUUGGGAAGAGGCCUACCGGGUAAGGGGUCCAGGGCCACUCGGGUUCCAGCGGUCCUUUCCCACUCUCGUGUGACUAAUUCUAAACGGGGCAGACCGUCUUUGAAAUACAAUGCAAACCAGUCUCUCUCGUUAGAAAUAUGUUCACAUCCAUAUGCACAAACUUUAAUUUGUAAUUUUAAGGGUUUGCGGACUUCCUGAAGCUGGUCCUUGCUCCCUGUGUACAUCAGCCUAAGUUAAGAGACC
rnacentral:lncRNA from 1 species